rnacentral:rRNA from 1 species
UCGGGGGACAGAGUGACAGGUGGUGCAUGGUUGUCGUCAGCUCGUGUCGUGAGAUGUUGGGUUAAGUCCCGCAACGAGCGCAACCCUUAAGCUUAGUUGCCAUCAUUAAGUUGGGCACUCUAAGUUGACUGCCGGUGACAAACCGGAGGAAGGUGGGGAUGACGUCAAAUCAUCAUGCCCCUUAUGAUUUGGGCUACACACGUGCUACAAUGGACAAUACAAAGGGCAGCGAAACCGCGAGGUCAAGCAAAUCCCAUAAAGUUGUUCUCAGUUCGGAUUGUAGUCUGCAACUCGACUAUAUGAAGCUGGAAUCGCUAGUAAUCGUAGAUCAGCAUGCUACGGUGAAUACGUUCCCGGGUCUUGUACACACCGCCCGUCACACCACGAGAGUUUGUAACACCCGAAGCCGGUGGAGUAACCAUUUGGAGCUAGCCGUCGAAGGUGGGACAAAUGAUUGGGGUGAAGUCGUAACAAGGUAGCCGUAUCGGAAGGUGCGGCUGGAUCACCUCCUUU